GACAGAGGGGGCAAGCGUUGUCCGGAGUGACUGGGCGUACAGCGCGCGCAGGCGGUUGGUGACGUGCCGUGUCACAGCCCUGAGCUCAACUCAGGGUGGCCACGGUAGACGCACCGGCUGGAGGCAGGGAGAGGGAUGUGGAAUACCCGGUGGAGCGGUGAAAUGCGUAGAGAUCGGGUGGAACACCAGUGGCGAAAGCAGCUCUCUGGGACGGUACUGACGCUGAGACGCGAAAGCGUGGGGAGCGAACAGG
rnacentral:rRNA from 1 species